rnacentral:rRNA from 1 species
UACAGAGGGUGCGAGCGUUAAUCGGAAUUACUGGGCGUAAAGCGCGCGUAGGUGGUUCAGCAAGUUGGAGGUGAAAUCCCCGGGCUCAACCUUGGACUGGCACCCGAUACUGGCAGGCUAGAGUACGGUAGAGGGAUGUGGAAUUUCCUGUGUAGCGGUGAAAUGCGUAGAUAUAGGAAGGAACAUCAGUGGCGAAGGCGACAUCCUGGACUGAUACUGACACUGAGGUGCGAAAGCGUGGGGAGCAAACAGG